UUGAACACGGAGGAAAAGAAACUAACAAGGAUUCCCCUAGUAACGGCGAGUGAAGCGGGAAGAGCUCAAAUUUGAAAUCUAGUAGCCUUCGGCUGCUCGAGUUGUAAUCUAGAGAAGUGUUUUCCGUGCCGGCCCAUGUACAAGUCCCUUGGAACAGGGCGUCAUAGAGGGUGAGAAUCCCGUCCUUGACAUGGACCCCCGGUGCUCUGUGAUACACUUUCAACGAGUCGAGUUGUUUGGGAAUGCAGCUCAAAAUGGGUGGUGAAUUCCAUCUAAAGCUAAAUAUUGGCGAGAGACCGAUAGCGAACAAGUACCGUGAGGGAAAGAUGAAAAGCACUUUGGAAAGAGAGUUAAACAGUACGUGAAAUUGUUGAAAGGGAAACGAUUGAAGUCAGUCAUGCUCUUUGGUAUUUAUAUCAUUGAGUGGGGUCAACAUCAGUUUUGAGCGAUGGAUAAAGGCACUAGGAAGGUAGCACUCUCGGGUGAACUUAUAGCCUAGCGUCAUAUACAUUGUUUGGGACUGAGGAACGCAGCAUGCCUUUAUGGCCGGGAUUCGUCCACGUACAUGCUUAGGAUGUUGACAUAAUGGCUUUAAACGACCCGUCUUGAAACCACGGACCA
rnacentral:rRNA from 1 species